rnacentral:rRNA from 1 species
UCGCGGCCUAUCAGCUUGUUGGUGGGGUGAUGGCCUACCAAGGCGUCGACGGGUAGCCGGCCUGAGAGGGCGACCGGCCACACUGGGACUGAGACACGGCCCAGACUCCUACGGGAGGCAGCAGUGGGGAAUAUUGCACAAUGGGCGAAAGCCUGAUGCAGCGACGCCGCGUGAGGGAUGACGGCCUUCGGGUUGUAAACCUCUUUCAGCAGGGAAGAAGGCCUUCGGGUGGACGGUACCUGCAGAAGAAGCGCCGGCUAACUACAUGCCAGCAGCCGCGGUAAUACGUAGGGCGCAAGCGUUGUCCGGAAUUAUUGGGCGUAAAGAGCUCGUAGGCGGCCUGUCGCGUCUGGUGUGAAAUCCCAUGGCUCAACUGUGGGCGUGCAUCGGGUACGGGCAGACUAGAGUGCGGUAGGGGAGACUGGAAUUCCUGGUGUAGCGGUGGAAUGCGCAGAUAUCAGGAGGAACACCGAUGGCGAAGGCAGGUCUCUGGGCCGCAACUGACGCUGAGGAGCGAAAGCAUGGGGAGCGAACAGGAUUAGAUACCCUGGUAGUCCAUGCCGUAAACGUUGGGCACUAGGUGUGGGGCUCAUUCCACGAGUUCCGUGCCGCAGCUAACGCAUUAAGUGCCCCGCCUGGGGAGUACGGCCGCAAGGCUAAAACUCAAAGGAAUUGACGGGGGCCCGCACAAGCGGCGGAGCAUGCGGAUUAAUUCGAUGCAACGCGAAGAACCUUACCAAGGCUUGACAUACACCGGAAACAUCCAGAGAUGGGUGCCCCGUAAGGUCGGUGUACAGGUGGUGCAUGGUUGUCGUCAGCUCGUGUCGUGAGAUGUUGGGUUAAGUCCCGCAACGAGCGCAACCCUCGUCCCAUGUUGCCAGCGGGUUAUGCCGGGGACUCAUGGGAGACUGCCGGGGUCAACUCGGAGGAAGGUGGGGAUGACGUCAAAUCAUCAUGCCCCUUAUGUCUUGGGCUUCACGCAUGCUACAAUGGCCGGUACAGAGGGCUGCGAUACCGUAAGGUGGAGCGAAUCCCAAAAAGCCGGUCUCAGUUCGGAUUGGGGUCUGCAACUCGACCCCAUGAAGUCGGAGUCGCUAGUAAUCGCAGAUCAGCAACGCUGCGGUGAAUACGUUCCCGGGCCUUGUACACACCGCCCGUCAAGUCACGAAAGUUGGUAACACCCGAAGCUCAUGGCCCAACCCUUGUGGGGGGAAUGGUCGAAGGUGGGGCUGGA